rnacentral:lncRNA from 1 species
CCGUGUCGCGCCCAGAUAAGCCUCAUUUGCCUUUGCUCUUUGGAAGCUUCCUGCCUCGCUAGAGUGCCAGAGUGCCGCUGGGUGGAGCGUUCCCAUUUUUAAGGAUGAGGGGUGGGGCAUCUCACAGAGUCACAAAUGGCAUCUGUGGGAGGCCGAUGGUGGCCCCUAAAGAUAUCCGGUCCUAAUCUGUGAAACCCAUGGAUGUUACAUUACACGGUGAAGACUUUUCAAAGAAGAGAAGAUGGAAAGAUGGAGCACAGAAAGAUUGGAAGGUGCUGAAAGUAAAGAGUCCUUAAACAUGGGAACAAUCCAGCCAUAAGCCACAGCACUGAGGUUACCAAAGCUGAAGAGGCCAGGAGUAUGUUCUCCCUGGAGCUGCUGGGACAGGAGGGGCCUUGAUUCAGGCUCAGUGAAGCGGAGGUGGAACUUCUCACCUCCAGAAGUGUCAGAGAAUAAAUUUGUGUUGCUCUAAGCAAAGUUGUGGUCGCUUAUUACAGUAGCCCCAGGCCAUACUUGUGGGUAAAAUGAAAGCCUGAGUCUAGAAGACAGUUGAGGUAAGUAGAGUCACAGAUACCUGAGCAACUUGAUUUCUCCAUUCACUUGGGAAAUGUCUGUUGAGCUCCAGGCACAGGAGGUAAGAGUAAAGCAGACACUGUCCCUACUAACACUACAGUGCGAAGCAGCAGGUAAGUAAAAAAUAUAAAGAAGUGAUUUUAGUUAUAGAUAAGUGCUUUCAAGAGAAUAAAAUAAGGCAAUGUGGAGUUGGUGGGAAUAGAAAGGCCUUUAUGUUACCAUAUUAUGAGAGCUGAAUCCAAAUAUCAAGAAGGAAUUACCAUCUAGAGAAGGAGCUUUCCAAGGGGAGGGAGCUGCUAGUGCAAAGGCCCUGGGGUGGGAAUGAAUGUGCUUGAGAAACAAGCAGAAGGACUAGUGUGAUGGUUCAUUUUGAUUGUCAACCUGAUUGAAUGGAGAACUGCCUAGGAAAUUAAUAAAGCACAGUCCGGUGUGUCUGUGAGAUGUUUCCAGAGACCUUUGGCAUGUGGGACAGUAAACUGAGCCGGGGGGGGGGGGGCCUGUGUAGCACCAUCCAACAGGCUGGGGAACCAGGUGGAACAAAAGGGGAAAAAGAUGGAGGUACACCAGCACAGUCACUCGUGUUCUCUCUCUCUCUCUCUCUC